rnacentral:lncRNA from 1 species
UCAUGAUCUAUUGAGUGUGGAAUAAUCACAUGAAUUCAAAGUGACAGGCUCAUUUGUGUUGAGUGAGAAAAAAGCAUCAAUGACACAUCUGCAUUAAUUCAUGUAUUAUUUCAUCAGGAUUUAUGCAUUACAUAGAUGUUAUUCAGCAUAUAUUCAUACACAGACAUAUUUAUUGUUUUAUUACUUUUGUCAUUUUUAGGUUAUUUCAGUGACUUAUAUAACAUUUUCUGUCUUAAACAGAGGGGUACCAGCAAUUUUCGAGCUGCAGUCUCCCGCAGGACAAGCUGAGAGCUUCCUGAGAGGCACAGCCUCUUUCCCUGACUCUACUUUUCUCACAGCAGACAGCCAUACAGGAGGAAAUUUUGUAUUAGGUAAUUUAUUUAAUUAAAAAUAUAUAUUUUUUUCUUGUGAUUUGUGAUGUUUUUAAUUUCCCAGAUCAAUGGUUGUACCAUAGAAGCUAAUACUGACCUCUACAACCUCUCCCUCUAACGACACCAGGCCCUGAUGCUCUUGGCACUGACCCAGUGCUACCUGUGGUGAGGCCGGAUGCAGUAGAGUCUCUGCUCUUACCUGAAGUUCCACAGGGCAGUGAAUUUUGCUGCCCUGGAAAAACUGUGUCCCGCUCCCAACAUUCUUUGUAAAAGGAGGCGACUUUCCCAUCAGGGUGUGGCCCUGCAUGUGAUAGGCUUCCCCCACGCGCACUGGUAAGGCAUUUUGUUGUCUGCCUGUAUUAUAUUCAUUUUUUAACCCUUUAAGGGCCAAUUUAAGACAUAAAGUCACCAAUAUAGCAAAAAAAAUGGAAGGAAAAUGACCUAAAAAAACUGCAUUGAUGAAGUGAUUCCAUAAGUGCAUUCUCUCUCACUAACAGCAGGUGGUAGUCAGUACCAUGUAAAAAAUCACCAGCUUCAGAUUAUGUUUUAUAAUAAAAAUAGGUCGUUUUCCUUCAAUGAAACAUUUGCUAGUUUUUAACAGGGGAGAAGGAAAAUAAGAGAUGUAUUAAAAAAAAUCUGAAAAAAAU